AGUUUGAUUGAGUGACUCUAUAGCUUCCAAUUUCUCCUCUUUUUCCUGCACAUCCAGUUUGACUGCUCGCAUUCAGUCGCGCUCGCCAUCGCCGGCGGAAGCAACAGGUCCCGGGACUGGUCGUUGUCGCUCUCUGUCUCAUCAUUGUCUUGCACUCAGUCGCGCGCCUUUGUGGCGGUCGUCGUCGCCGGCGGCAGUAGCAGCAGGUCCCAGGCUGGUCGUCAUUGUCGCCGUCAACUUCCUCCUCACCGUCAGCUUUCUCCCCGCCGUCAGCUUCCUCCCCGCCGUCAGCUUCCUUCGCGUAACCAGAAGCUGCUUCUCGAUUUGGUGCGGUCCAUGUCAAUUCAUGGUUCCCAUUCUUGAUGAAGUGAGCACUCGCCUUAAGGACAAGAUACAGGUAGUCAAGAUUGAUUCUGAGAAGUACCUGCGAUCACAAUUACAGGAUUGAGGCCGUUCCAACCUUCAUCAUCUUCAAGGAUAGAGAGCCCUUCGAUCGAUUUUAGAAACCAAGGCUAUAAUGGAGCAAAACAAGGCUAGCAAAACAUGGCUGUUGAGAAAAUGAUGCGUAAGAUUGAACAACAGAAGAAGGAAAAGGAAAAACUGGAUAGAAGAAUUCAUGAACUAUAAAGACAACUUGAUGAAAAAGAAGCAUUGGAAUUGGAAAUUGUGCGUCUGAGAGGGGCUGUUGAAGUAAUGAAACACAUGGAGGAGGAUGAAGGAGAGGAGAAGAAGAAACUGGAAGAAGUCAAAUUGGAUGUGCUUGAAGUACUUAAUCAAACUCUUGUCAUCAAGGAGUAAAACCAAUGAUGGCAAGAGUUUGAUUAAAUACUUCAACUGCUUCCAAUUCCUCCUCUGAAUGCGAGACAGUGACAACACGGAGAGCAACGGCGACCUUGAGUGCGAGACUGAAGAUAGAGAGAGACCAGAGACGAGAGAGGGAGAGAGCUUGAGUGCGACGCCACAGUGAGAGAGAUGAGAGAGAGAGUUCCUGGGAGAGAGAUAGGAAGAGGAGAGAAGAAUAAUACAGGAAAACCUUGAGAAGAUGAAGAAGAAUGUUUGAUUUUUUUUAAGAAAUGGUGUUCAAAGAGAGGGUUUCUUCUUUUUUACCAUCAGAAACUUAGACGAAGAACAAUCUUUUGAUUUUUUUUAUUCUCAUAUAUGUUUUUGUUUUGUUAUUCAAAUUAUUUGAAAUUUGAAAAUAUAAAAUUAAGAUCGA